UGCGAUCUGCGCCUCACGACAGGAAACACAAUCCCUGGGGCCAUACUCGAUCCAAAGGGAGCUGUCCCUGGCCGGGCCCGUGGGCCUGGACAUAUGGCGCCCACCUACGUUUGUAGGCACCCAGGAUCGUACAAAACCAUCGGCUGCGUGGAUCGCGC
rnacentral:other from 1 species